rnacentral:rRNA from 1 species
GACAGCAGUCGCCGCGGUAAUACAGAGGGUGCGAGCGUUAAUCGGAUUUACUGGGCGUAAAGCGUGCGUAGGCGGCUAAUUGAGUCGGAUGUGAAAUCCCCGAGCUUAACUUGGGAAUUGCAUUCGAUACUGGUUAGCUAGAGUGUGGGAGAGGAUGGUAGAAUUCCAGGUGUAGCGGUGAAAUGCGUAGAGAUCUGGAGGAAUACCGAUGGCGAAGGCAGCCAUCUGGCCUAACACUGACGCUGAGGUACGAAAGCAUGGGGAGCAAACAGGAUUAGAUACCCCCGUAGUCCCUGUCUCUUAUAC